CCAGCACAAAUUCGACAAACUUCUUCUCAAAUUCUUUACCAUGGAAAGAUCUCACUGUCACUUUCUGCAAUUGAUUCAGGGAAAAAGGAGAAUGAUAUUGCUCUUCCCAAAAUUGUAGAAUAGGUUCAGAGACAGCUUCAUUUUUGCAGCCACAUGCUUUUAUAUCAAGAAUUUGCAAGUUUAAGGCACUUCCAAUCAAAGAGAGGAGACUUGAGACUUCGUCCACCUUCUCAAAACAAAAUGCAUUUAUUCCAAGGGUCCUCAGAUGGCUAUAAGUAGUUGCAACUUCUGUAAAUGUAUCACCUGCAGCCAAGAACUUCUGAAAUUGACAUCGCACAAAAAGCUCCUUAAUUGCAGGUGGCAGACCACGGAAUUUGAAUCUUAGAUCAAACUGGUUAUUCUCAGAACCAAUCCGAUAUAAAUUGAUAGACAAAACCUCAAGAAGUGGAG
rnacentral:misc_RNA from 1 species